UACGGAGGGUGCGAGCGUUAAUCGGAAUUACUGGGCGUAAAGGGUGCGUAGGUUGUUUGAUAAGUUAUCUGUAAAAUCCCCGGGCUUAACCUGGGCAGGUCAGAUAAGACUGUUGGACUUGAGUACAGGAGAGGGCAGUGGAAUUUCCGGUGUAGCGGUGAAAUGCGUAGAGAUCGGAAGGAACACCAGUGGCGAAGGCGGCUGCCUGGCCUGAUACUGACACUGAGGCACGAAAGCGUGGGGAGCAAACAGG
rnacentral:rRNA from 1 species